GGGCCGAGCGGCAUGGAUGCCGCGAGAGCCGCCCACCGCCAUGGAUGGCGGAUGGCGGCGGGCCC
rfam:Pseudomonas sp. Bc-h sc_015, whole genome shotgun sequence.